UAAGGGCUGGGUAAGACGGGUGCCAGCCGCCGCGGUAAUACCCGCAGCCCGAGUGGUGAUCGGUUUUAUUGGGCUUAAAGCGUCCGUAGCCGGUUUGGUAAAUUCCUGGGUAAAUCGAGUCGCUUAACGAUUCGAAUUCCGGGAACACUGCCAGACUUGGGACUGGGAGAGGCCAGAGGUACUCCAGGGGUAGGGGUGAAAUCCUGUAAUCCUUGGGGGACCACCAGUGGCGAAGGCGUCUGGCUAGAACGGGUCCGACGGUAAGGGACGAAGCCCUGGGGCACAAACCGGAUUAGAUACCCGGGUAGUCCAGGGUGUAAACGCUGCGAGCUUGGUGUUGGGGGUCCCACGUGGGCGUCCAGUGCCGGAGAGA
rnacentral:rRNA from 1 species